GACCUCCCAAGACCGCAUCUGGAGAGCUUUCCAUACUCUUUCAGCUUUGGACACGGGAGGGAGAGAAACUGCAGCAGAAUACCCAUUCCAUUUCUGGCUUUGAAAUAGGCUAGCUAAUGGAAGAACCUCUGCCACAGAC